rnacentral:rRNA from 1 species
AGAGUUUGAUCCUGGCUCAGAUUGAACGCUGGCGGUAUGCUUAACACAUGCAAGUCGAACGGUAACAUAGAGAGCUUGCUCUCUGAUGACGAGUGGCGGACGGGUGAGUAACGCGUAGGAAUCUGCCUGGUAGAGGGGGACAACUUGGGGAAACUCAAGCUAAUACCGCAUACGCCCUAAGGGGGAAAGCGGGGGAUCUUCGGACCUCGCGCUAUCAGAUGAGCCUGCGUUAGAUUAGCUAGUUGGUGGGGUAAAGGCCUACCAAGGCGACGAUCUAUAGCUGGUCUGAGAGGACGAUCAGCCACACUGGGACUGAGACACGGCCCAGACUCCUACGGGAGGCAGCAGUGGGGAAUAUUGGACAAUGGGCGCAAGCCUGAUCCAGCAAUACCGCGUGUGUGAAGAAGGCCUGAGGGUUGUAAAGCACUUUCAAUAGGGAGGAAAACCUGCCGGUUAAUAGCCGGUAGCUUGACAUUACCUAUAGAAGAAGCACCGGCUAACUCCGUGCCAGCAGCCGCGGUAAUACGGGGGGUGCGAGCGUUAAUCGGAAUUACUGGGCGUAAAGCGUACGUAGGCGGUUAAUUAAGUCAGAUGUGAAAGCCCCGGGCUUAACUUGGGAACUGCAUUUGAAACUGGUUAACUAGAGUUGAGUAGAGGGGAGUGGAAUUUCAGGUGUAGCGGUGAAAUGCGUAGAUAUCUGAAGGAACACCAGUGGCGAAGGCGACUCCCUGGACUCAAACUGACGCUGAGGUACGAAAGCGUGGGUAGCAAACAGGAUUAGAUACCCUGGUAGUCCACGCCGUAA